rnacentral:misc_RNA from 1 species
UGGAAGAGAAUUAGUGAGUUGAAGUUGUAAGAGAAAACAUAUUAGUGAUAACUCUUGCUUACAUAACUCUUCCAUUUAUAACUUACAUUUUGCAUAAUACAUACCUAAUUAGUUUCUAAUGGACCUUGUGAUGACAUGACCCUUGAUAAUUUGAUAUCCAAAUCUUCAAGUAUUCCAACGAUGGAAGUCGACCCUCCAGGAUGCUCAUUUAAUGCUUUCUCUGAUACAAAUCUGGCAAUUUAUUUUCUUAGACCAGUUUUCUAUCUUGUACUUUGAAAAUUUGAGUUUUUUGA